UACAGAGGGGGCAAGCGUUGCUCGGAAUUACUGGGCGUAAAGCGUGCGCAGGCGGUGAUGUAAGACCGAUGUGAAAUCCCCGGGCUUAACCUGGGAACUGCAUUGGUGACUGCAUCGCUCGAGUAUGGCAGAGGGGGGUAGAAUUCCACGUGUAGCAGUGAAAUGCGUAGAGAUGUGGAGGAAUACCGAUGGCGAAGGCAGCCCCCUGGGUCAAUACUGACGCUCAUGCACGAAAGCGUGGGGAGCAAACAGG
rnacentral:rRNA from 1 species